rnacentral:rRNA from 1 species
AUGCGUGAUCAGGUCGGCAUCGACCUGGACGGCUUCCCCCUCGACCACGAGUUCCCGGACGACUAUGGGCUAGAGGAAGAGGACGAGUGCGACAUCGAAGUGGAGUCUUUGUUUGAGGACGAGCUCGCCAACCAAGCCGCCGGGCCGAAGCCGAAGCGCAAGAGCAAACGCACGAAGGCGUAAACAGCUGCCGAGGACAAGCUUCUAUGCGAGUGUUGGCGAGACAUUGGACAAGACCCAAAGACGGGCACCGAGCAAAAGCAUUCAACCUUUUGAACUCGUGUGCACCGCAAGAAGUUUCCACCCUACCAAUUUGUGAGCACGCGCGGGUGGGUCUCCAUUUCGAAGCGGUGGAUGGUAAUCCAACAAGAGGGCAACAAGUUUUGUGCCACCCUUGAGAGCGUCAAGGCCCGCCCCGUGAGCGGCAUCGGCGUGCAAGACAUGGUAUGA